rnacentral:rRNA from 1 species
GACUGGGGCGGUCGCCUCCUAAAGAGUAACGGAGGCGUACGAAGGUAAGCUCAAAUUGAUAAAACUCAAUUGAAGAGCAUAAUAGUAUAGUGCUUGCUUGACUGAAAGAUUGACAAAUCGAACAGGGACGAAAGUCGGUUAUAGUGAUCCGGUGACUCUGAGUGGAAAAGGUCAUCGCUCAACGGAUAAAAGGUACUCCGGGGAUAACAGGCUGAUACCGCCCAAGAGUUCAUAUCGACGGCGGUGUUUGGCACCUCGAUGUCGGCU